rnacentral:tRNA from 1 species
GCCCGGAUAGCUCAGUCGGUAGAGCAGGGGAUUGAAAAUCCCCGUGUCCUUGGUUCGAUUC